AUCAGAUGUGUGGUUUUGAGAUCCAUCCAGUUCAGAACAAGAUUCCUCAGCAUCUCUAAAGCCUGAAUCCAGAAUUAUUCAAGGCAAAGACAGGGCUGAGGUGUUGUGUGUACAUGUCUGACCUGCAGAUCAGGAUAACUGCAGAAAUGUUUAAACUGAUGCAGGUUAGCAG